rnacentral:lncRNA from 10 species
GCCGGCCGAGCCAAGUGUGGAACUCAGUAAUUUGACUCCAAAGUCUCCUUCGCUACAUUGCCAGGCCAUGACAAUGCUUGCGUUCACUUUACCUGAGAUUAAACCAUGACCUAGAAGUAGAAACCUGGAAUUACAAAUCCCUGAGGAAUGAGAGACCUCUGUGCCUGAGACCGUAAGGAACAGAGCUUGGGGGUCCUGGGGUGUCAAACACCAAGGAUCUCUUAAUUAGCAAGUUCAAAGGGAAGGGAUGAAUAGAAAAGAAAAAACUCAGAAAUGACCCCAGGAGGGAGACCAUAGGGACAGGUUUAGCUCCUUCCCAGCUUGAGUACACAGGAAAUGUCAUUCAGGGAACUGUGACUUGUAAUAUAGAAAGAGGGUUCCUUACAGCACAGAGAGUGGCAACAGAAGCCAGGCGAAAUAGGCAGUGUUCCUAAGUCAGGUCUGGAGUGGCAUUCUGCUGAAUGAACGGGGCUUGAAAGAAAACAAACCUGGAAGAGACCAUGGAAAGCUGCAACCCUGUAAUCGCGAAACUCCCAAAGAUGGGACACCUUGUGCCUGAGAUUCUCCGAGUCCGUCUGGCUGGAAGAAUUUGGCAGAAAGAGGGCCUCAUGGCUGGAAGAGCAACGGGCCUGUGGUGACACCACGUGUGACUGAAGCUUGCUGUCUCCAAACAAGAUCCAUCCUGGGCCUUCCCAGUUCUGUGAUCCCACAGAUUCCACAUGCUUAAGCUGGUUGGAGUUGGGUUUCUGUCACUUGCAACCAAAAGAGCCCUGACUAUAGAAUGCAUCCAGCGCCUUGGUAUUCUGUGGAAAGGCAGAACCCUCAGCUGUGUACUGGCAGGAACUCUGGUGCUAGGCCAAGUGAACACGGUAGGGAAGUGGUCCUUAUGCAUUUGUGCAAGAAGAAUUGCUGUGAAUUCCAGGCAAAUGCUAAACCCCUUGGGUGGUGGAGACAGUGAGGACAGCAGGAAGAACUGCCUUAAGAAUCCCCUUUAGACCCUGGACUAAACCACCCCUCCUUCAAAGUCUAUCACUGCAUCAGCUCAGUAGGGCAAGGGAGGAAGGGCAUGAUGGAAGGAAAGAGAAAGAGCUAUUAAAAACAUAUGUAUGAAUGCCUCCCCCCCAAUCCCCCCACCCUAGCCCUAAACCCUGCCACUGUGAACUGAAGGACUCUGAGGCCAAAAUAGAUUCUCAAGACUGUAUUUACCAGAUUAGAAAAUAGCUUUGGGGUAGAAACCCUCAAUCUCAAAUUAUAAUAAAUAAAAACUUAGACCUGCCUGGACCUUUACAGUUGUUAAAGCACUACUAUAUAUAUUAUUCAUAUAUCUGCAUUCAACAAACACCCAUUAGCCACCUCUGCCGCAGGCUCUGUGCUAGGCUGGGGGAGACAAGCACAGAAGACAUGCUUUCUGCUUUCUGGGAGCUUGGAGUGUAAUCAUGGAGACAGUUUUGUAAAGGUAGUGCCCAGAGCUGUGAUGGAGUUAUAUACAGAGCACUGUGGAUGUGAGGAGGAACAUCUAACUGAAGGCAGGGAGCUGAGCCUAUCAAACACGGAAAUAGACAUCUGCAGAGGCAUGAGGUGGUGGCAGGGAGG